CUCCCCGUAGUUCAACGGAUAGAACAGCAGCCUUCUAAGCCGCGGAUCGAGGUUCGAUUCCUCGCGGGGAGACUA
rnacentral:tRNA from 2 species